rnacentral:tRNA from 1 species
GGGUAUAUAGCUCAGUGGUAGAGUGAGUAUUUACCACGUACGAGGUCCUGGGAUCAAUCCCCAGCACCUG